UGCCCAACAACUUCUAUCCCUACCUCCUCGUGGUACUGGCCGGGGUACGAGUAACCUUAGGGAAGAUCUGGUAACCAACCACGGUGGGAACUUUGGUCGUAUGCUGACAGGGAAGG
rfam:Aedes aegypti strain Liverpool supercont1.545 genomic scaffold, whole genome shotgun sequence.